CUUUCACAUGGGCAGCAUUUAGUUCAAUUCAGAACUGCAGAUAGUAUAGCCUGCACGGCAGCAAUGGGAUGUCUGAGCAUGAGGGGCUGACUUCCGAGCRCCUCCGCCAAGCCCGGCUGUACGCUUCUCCUGACCUACCCUGGAAUUGUGCCCCUUGCCAUCCGCCCACCUUGUCUCUGCGGAAGGAGGCAGCGCGACCUGCGCAGCGCAGCAAGACAAAACUAGGCAUCACAACAAAGCUGCAGACCAGCAAACGAAGCUAAGUGAGGGCAAUUUGACCAAUGUCUUCUGUGUCAGUUCCCCAGCAGUCAAAGCAUGUUAUCAGGUCUCCAAGACCUACAGCUUGCGAAGACUGGAAAGGAAGACAAAUAAGGUUGGUUCAAUGUCCUCAGGGGGCGGAGAAGGGUGAAGAAAGAGGACAAGAUUCAGACUGGACACACAUACCAGAAAAGAAGCUUGGAAAACUGCCAGCUCCUUGCCUGAAGAUUGAAAUAGGAUGGGCAGAGAAGGGUAUUGGUGUCGGUAAGAGAACAAUGAUAGAAAUUGCAUCAUCUGUAUGAUUAAAAUCACUGUGUCAAUUUUGAUUUUCCUCCCUCCUUUCAGACAUUUAAGGAUGCUGCCAAGUCAAUGGAGAUCUCUUGUAGUGGUUGCUUCAGUGAACAUUCAACGCUGUCGGUGAGUUUGGAAUUAAAGUGAAAACCAUCGACCGUUGAUUGUACCCUCCAGCUAACCAUCCUCCUCCUUACUUCAUGCUUUCAGGCCUUAGCACCGAAGAUAGCAACCUAACCAGCACACCAGGUUUCUCCCCCACCCUGCCAAGCUUUACAAAAAAGGUCACAAUCAACAUUCAUUGCUGUCGGUGGGUUUAACUAUGUGGACAAGCUCACUGAACAAUGAAUGCAACUGUGGCCCCACAUUUUACAGUUGCUGUUAAGAGGAACAUCAUCUCUGAAAGCGGUAGCAAGAAGCAAGUUCUUCUUAUAUCCUAAGAUUUUCUGGUUAAAAAGUAGUUGAGGAUAUUCACUUUUUUGCCUGUUGUUUUUAAGUGUGCUUAAGUCAACUGACUGGGGGAUGGAGGAAGAAAAAAAAAAAAAAAGCCACACACACACCCCACACACCACUGUUUUUCUGGAACAGUGUCCUCCUCAGAGUUCAGACUCAUUCAAGCCAUAAGAAUUCAUAUUCAGUAAGUACAUGGAAAUAAAUGCUAGUAUGGGGAACUUUUUGUGUAUGCG
rnacentral:lncRNA from 1 species